CGGGACACGUGGUAUCCUGUCUGAAUAUGGGGGGACCAUCCUCCAAGGCUAAAUACUCCUGACUGACCGAUAGUGAACCAGUACCGUGAGGGAAAGGCGAAAAGAACCCCGGCGAGGGGAGUGAAAAAGAACCUGAAACCGUGUACGUACAAGCAGUGGGAGCACGCUUAGGCGUGUGACUGCGUACCUUUUGUAUAAUGGGUCAGCGACUUAUAUUCUGUAGCAAGGUUAACCGAAUAGGGGAGCCGAAGGGAAACCGAGUCUUAACUGGGCGUUAAGUUGCAGGGUAUAGACCCGAAACCCGGUGAUCUAGCCAUGGGCAGGUUGAAGGUUGGGUAACACUAACUGGAGGACCGAACCGACUAAUGUUGAAAAAUUAGCGGAUGACUUGUGGCUGGGGGUGAAAGGCCAAUCAAACCGGGAGAUAGCUGGUUCUCCCCGAAAGCUAUUUAGGUAGCGCCUCGUGAAUUCAUCUCCGGGGGUAGAGCACUGUUUCGGCAAGGGGGUCAUCCCGACUUACCAACCCGAUGCAAACUGCGAAUACCGGAGAAUGUUAUCACGGGAGACACACGGCGGGUGCUAACGUCCGUCGUGAAGAGGGAAACAACCCAGACCGCCAGCUAAGGUCCCAAAGUCAUGGUUAAGUGGGAAACGAUGUGGGAAGGCCCAGACAGCCAGGAUGUUGGCUUAGAAGCAGCCAUCAUUUAAAGAAAGCGUAAUAGCUCACUGGUCGAGUCGGCCUGCGCGGAAGAUGUAACGGGGCUAAACCAUGCACCGAAGCUGCGGCAGCGACGCUGAUGCGUUGUUGGGUAGGGGAGCGUUCUGUAAGCCUGUGAAGGUGUGCUGUGAGGCAU
rnacentral:rRNA from 1 species